UACGUAGGGUGCAAGCGUUAAUCGGAAUUACUGGGCGUAAAGCGUGCGCAGGCGGGUAUGUAAGACAGUUGUGAAAUCCCCGGGCUCAACCUGGGAACUGCAUCUGUGACUGCAUAGCUAGGGUACGGUAGAGGGGGAUGGAAUUCCGCGUGUAGCAGUGAAAUGCGUAGAUAUGCGGAGGAACACCGAUGGCGAAGGCAAUCCCCUGGACCUGUACUGACGCUCAUGCACGAAAGCGUGGGGAGCAAACAGG
rnacentral:rRNA from 1 species